AGAUAAUCCUUCCUGUCCAUGAGGACCACUGCGCUCCCUUUAUCUGCAGGAGGGAGCUGUGCAGCAGAGGGAACCCAGGUGGACCUGGGAAUGAAGGGAAGGUGUACAGAAUCUGGGUUAUGGUGUUUAAAAACUGGACCCAAUGAUGCAGCAUACUUUCACCUGUUUGUUUGGUCCAGUGAAUGUAGUCACCCUCCACAUGAAAGCUGCUUCUGGGGAGCUGAGGGAUGAAGGUAUGGUUAUCUUCAAUGUACCUGUUUAAGCGUCUCAGAUUGUCUUGUUCUGCGGGUGGCAGUUGCCUGCUAAAGUCCAGCAGGACCACAAAGAUCUGUGCUGCAGGGAAAGCUUUUUCAGCCAUCCCAAAGGCCCUGUCCAGC